UACAGAGGUGGCAAGCGUUGUUCGGAAUUACUGGGCGUAAAGGGCGCGUAGGCGGCCAUCUAAGUCAGACGUGAAAUCCCCCGGCUUAACCUGGGAACUGCGUCUGAUACUGGACGGCUUGAGUAUGGGAGAGGGAUGUAGAAUUCCAGGUGUAGCGGUGAAAUGCGUAGAUAUCGUCAAGAACACCGAUAGUGUAGACAGCUUACUAGGCUACAACUGACGCUGAGGCACGAAAGUGUGGGGAUCAAACAGG
rnacentral:rRNA from 1 species